rnacentral:rRNA from 1 species
GGGUUAAGUCCCGCAACGAGCGCAACCCCUAUCUUCAGUAGCCAGCAGGUUAAGCUGGGCACUCUGGAGAGACUGCCAGGGAUAACCUGGAGGAAGGUGGGGAUGACGUCAAAUCAUCAUGCCCCUUAUGACCAGGGCUACACACGUGCUACAAUGGCGUAAACAAAGAGAAGCAAAACUCGCGAGGGUAAGCAAAUAUCAAAAAUAACGUCUCAGUUCGGAUUGUAGUCUGCAACUCGACUACAUGAAGCUGGAAUCGCUAGUAAUCGCAGAUCAGAAUGCUGCGGUGAAUACGUUCCCGGGUCUUGUACACACCGCCCGUCACACCAUGGGAGUCAGUAACGCCCGAAGUCAGUGACCCAACCGUAAGGAGGGAGCUGCCGAAGGUGGGACCGAUAACUGGGGUGAAGUCGUAACAAGGUAACCGUA